GUCGGUCGACUCUGGUUGCGCCGCUUUGUAAAUCGGCGUUCCGCCGCCGCGGAAAGCCGAUCCGCCGGACUCUCGACCGGCGAUCGGCCCGCGUCGGGGCCCCCUUUAUUAGCACGAGCCGGGGCCGCUGUUCGUGACCACACGUAUAUGCAAGCGUCGGGCUGCUUGUCCGCUCGACCAGCGACGGAAAAGCCCGAGGGUCGGCGAUUCGGCGCCGGCGCACAGAGGCAACCACUUCGAGCUCGGUCCGCUAAAGGAGCGGCGGUGAUCUUCGAACCCGCGCCGAAGUUUGGCGAUUACCAAAGCAGAAAGCAAACAUGGCCGCCUCCGGCAUCGGCGCGCGCGCUUCGAAACAUCGCAGAUCUCGCGAUUCCGCUGCGUCUGCGGUUGAUCUUAUCGAUGUAUCGGGCAGCAACGAGUCUGAGGAGGCUGCCUUUUUGUCGGGAUUUGACUCUGAGACCGACGACAACGCAAGUCAGCCCGGAACAUCGACGCCCGCAGGCUGGCACGCCAAACUGCAGUACUUGCACUUAAACUUUUGUAGUGGAAUACCUGUUCAAUGAAAAAGUUUGAUUCUUUUCGGAGAUAGUGCCAAUUAGAUUGCUGUGCAUUUUGUAUAUGUCAUAAAUUUUGUUAAAUUUUUUUUCUGAGUAGGUACAAGCGUGUCUUUACAAGCUUUGUUCAGUUUUAUAAUACAAUCUUGAUUUUGGCAAUUAAUAUCUGUUUUAUGACAUCAAUCUCGUUAAUAAAAAUUUUAUGCUGAAAAGUGCA